rnacentral:rRNA from 1 species
GAUGAACGCUGGCGGCGUGCCUAAUACAUGCAAGUCGAACGAAACUUCUUUAUCACCGAGUGCUUGCACUCACCGAUAAAGAGUUGAGUGGCGAACGGGUGAGUAACACGUGGGCAACCUGCCCAAAAGAGGGGGAUAACACUUGGAAACAGGUGCUAAUACCGCAUAACCAUAGUUACCGCAUGGUAACUAUGUAAAAGGUGGCUAUACUACCGCUUUUGGAUGGGCCCGGGGCGCAUUAGCUAGUUGGUAGGGUAAAGGCUUACCAAGGCAAUGAUGCGUAGCCGAAUUGAGAGGUUGAUCGGCCACAUUGGGACUGAGACACGGCCCAAACUCCUACGGGAGGCAGCAGUAGGGAAUCUGCCACAAUGGGCGAAAGCCUGAUGGAGCAACGCCGCGUGGGUGAAGAAGGUCUUCGGAUCGUAAAACCCUGUUGUUAGAGAAGAAAGUGCGUGAGAGUAACUGUUCACGUUUCGACGGUAUCUAACCAGAAAGCCACGGCUAACUACGUG